UAGCAAAUACGAUGACGGCCAUGGUC
rnacentral:piRNA from 1 species